rnacentral:lncRNA from 1 species
GGUGAAUCUGUAGUAUUAUUUAGGAUGAAUUUAUGAUACUUGAUAUGUGUAAGGUUGUCAGAUUGAACUAAAUCUGAAGGAUUUAUGUAUAAAGCUUAGAUGUUGUCAGUUUAUCUACCGUAGGUCAGUGGCAAUCCAUCGAUAUAAACUGACUACUACAAAAUAGCGCAACAGGGCUGACAUUUGCUUUAACAAUCAAUGAAAAAAUAAAUGAAAUAAAAAUCUUUAUUUCAAGAGGAUUAUCACAUAAAUU